AUGAACGCUGGCGGCGUGCCUAAUACAUGCAAGUCGAGCGAACGGACGAGAAGCUUGCUUCCCUGAUGUUAGCGGCGGACGGGUGAGUAACACGUGGAUAACCUACCUAUAAGACUGGGAUAACUUCGGGAAACCGGAGCUAAUACCGGAUAAUAUUUUGAACCGCAUGGUUCAAAAGUGAAAGACGGUCUUGCUGUCACUUAUAGAUGGAUCCGCGCUGCAUUAGCUAGUUGGUAAGGUAACGGCUUACCAAGGCAACGAUGCAUAGCCGACCUGAGAGGGUGAUCGGCCACACUGGAACUGAGACACGGUCCAGACUCCUACGGGAGGCAGCAGUAGGGAAUCUUCCGCAAUGGGCGAAAGCCUGACGGAGCAACGCCGCGUGAGUGAUGAAGGUCUUCGGAUCGUAAAACUCUGUUAUUAGGGAAGAACAUAUGUGUAAGUAACUGUGCACAUCUUGACGGUACCUAAUCAGAAAGCCACGGCUAACUACGUG
rnacentral:rRNA from 1 species